CAGCCGCCGCGGGAAUACGGAGGGGGCUAGCGUUGUUCGGAAUUACUGGGCGUAAAGCGCACGUAGGCGGCUGUGUAAGUCAGAGGUGAAAGCCCGGGGCUCAACCCCGGAAUAGCCUUUGAGACUGCAUAGCUUGAACACGGGAGAGGUGAGUGGAAUUCCGAGUGUAGAGGUGAAAUUCGUAGAUAUUCGGAAGAACACCAGUGGCGAAGGCGGCUUACUGGCUCAUACUGGACGCUGAGGUGCGAAAGCGUGGGGAGCAAACAGGAUUAGAUACCCGUGUAGUCCCUGUCUCUUAUAC
rnacentral:rRNA from 1 species